GAACUAUUCUCCAUCCAAAUCCGCCACUACUGUACUGCCUGGCAACGCGGGCACGAACGAUCCUUUCAACCUGAUUGUACCUGUACCAGAUUUAUUGUAAAGGACGCCUUCGCACCAUCCAUUCUGUCUUGCGGUAAACGCAGCGCGCAUCACCUGGUACGUAACACGACUAGCUAACCGCCGCAGCUCUGAAUCUUCCAAAGAGGUGAGAAUAAAACAGAAGAAGGCGUUUUUAGGGUGCAAGCAUCGCUGGAAGUUAAGGUGAUCCGUUAACAUAAUAUCAACGCCGCCAGCGACAUAUUUACUUUGCGAAGAGCUGUGUUUAUCUGCAUUUGUUGAAAUAUAAACAACGAUUAAAAUAAAUAAAUAAAAU